rnacentral:rRNA from 1 species
UACGAAGGGGGCUAGCGUUGCUCGGAAUUACUGGGCGUAAAGCGUGCGUAGGUGGUUGUUUAAGUCUGCCGUGAAAGCCCUGGGCUCAACCUGGGAAUUGCAGUGGAUACUGGGCGACUAGAGUGUGGUAGAGGAUAGUGGAAUUUCCGGUGUAGCAGUGAAAUGCGUAGAGAUCGGAAGGAACAUCUGUGGCGAAGGCGACUAUCUGGGCCAACACUGACACUGAGGCACGAAAGCGUGGGGAGCAAACAGG